rnacentral:rRNA from 1 species
UUCUGGCAUCGAUGAAGAACGCAGCGAAAUGCGAUAAGUAGUGUGAAUUGCAGAAUUCAGUGAAUCAUCGAAUCUUUGAACGCACAUUGCGCCCCUUGGUAUCCCGAGGGGCAUGCCUGUUCGAGCGUCAUUUCACCAUUCAAGCCUGGCUUGGUGUUGAGCGACGUCCCUUUAGGGACGCGCUUCGAAACGCUCGGCGGCGUGGCACCGGCUUUAAGCGUAGCAGAAUCUUUCGCUUUGAAAGUCGGGGCCCCGUCUGCCGGAAGACCUACUUCAAGGUUGACCUCGGAUCAGGUAGGGAUACCCGCUGAACUUAAGCAUAUCAAUAAGCGGAGGAA